UCUUUCAUCUUAUCCCCUAGCCUCCCCCAUCUCUUUCUUUUUUUCUAUUCUCUCCCCAUGCGACCCCUGACUCCCUUCUUUCUUAUUCCCUCUUCCACUCAAAAACCUUAUGUUCUCUUUUCUUCCUCCCCUUCUCCUGCGUGCAAAUAUCCCGAAGCUCGCACCACCUCCUUCUUCUCUUCGUGCCAUUUCUCUUUCCUCU
rnacentral:lncRNA from 1 species